rnacentral:rRNA from 1 species
AGGGAAUCUUCGGCAAUGGACGGAAGUCUGACCGAGCAACGCCGCGUGAGUGAAGAAGGUUUUCGGAUCGUAAAGCUCUGUUGUAAGAGAAGAACGAGUGUGAGAGUGGAAAGUUCACACUGUGACGGUAUCUUACCAGAAAGGGACGGCUAACUACGUGCCAGCAGCCGCGGUAAUACGUAGGUCCCGAGCGUUGUCCGGAUUUAUUGGGCGUAAAGCGAGCGCAGGCGGUUAGAUAAGCCUGAAGUUAAAGGCUGUGGCUUAACCAUAGUACGCUUUGGAAACUGUUUAACUUGAGUGCAAGAGGGGAGAGUGGAAUUCCAUGUGUAGCGGUGAAAUGCGUAGAUAUAUGGAGGAACACCGGUGGCGAAAGCGGCUCUCUGGCUUGUAACUGACGCUGAGGCUCGAAAGCGUGGGGAGCAAACAGGAUUAGAUACCUUGGUAGUCCACGCCGUAAACGAUGAGUGCUAGGUGUUAGACCCUUUCCGGGGUUUAGUGCCGCAGCUAACGCAUUAAGCACUCCGCCUGGGGAGUACGACCGCAAGGUUG